rnacentral:lncRNA from 1 species
GGUUUUGCUGUCCUUUUUUACUUCUUCACAGGAAAGAAAGGCCUAGAAUAAUUUCUUAUUGUGGCAGUAAAAUCUCAUUUAACAUUCUCAGCUCUUUAUUGUAGAAUGACUUCUAUAUAGCACUACAACUCAUGUGUAAAGAGGAAGGAGAAGGACCUUUGGAAGCCUCUGGUCCCAUCACACCUGAUACAGCUGAAGUUUUCUCACUGCCUGAAUUCUUUAAUUGGAAAAGACUCAAGACAAAUAUGAGAGGCCACCAGAUCCCUUCCUGUCAUCUGUUAAAAAAUCAAGUAUCAUUGUGUGCUGAAGAGUCCCUUAAUUAUCAUUGCAAUGCAGAAUAAUCCCACCUCUGACAAGCCACCUCUAAUGCUUGAUGAAGACAGAAGAAUUAAUGUGGAGCAGGAAGUAUGCUGGUUGUAAGGGCUGGGCAUGUUCUCAGAUGAGACAGUUGGUGGUUCCAUGUGAAAACAACAAAAAGUCAUCACAUAAAAGUUACAGGAGAAUUUCUG